AAAGGACCUGUGGAUGGAUGUUGGUCAACAGCCACUGAAUAUGAGCCAUAGGUGUGCCCAGGUGGCUAAGGCCAACAGCAUCCUGGCUUGUAUCAGAAAUAGUGUGGCCAGCAGCACUAGGGAAGUGAUUGUCCCCCUGUACUCAACACUGGUGAGGCCCCACCUCCAAUACUGUGUUCAGUUUUGGGCCCCUCACUGCAGGAAAAACACUGAGGUGGUAGAGCAUGUCUAGAGAAAAGCAACAGAGCUGGUGAAGGGUCCAGAGAACAAGUCUUAUGAGGAGUGGCUGAAGGAACUGGAGGUUGUUUAGCCUGGAGAAAAGGAGGCUGACAG